GUGUCUCUGGUCUCCCAAGCAGACUGUGAAUCCCCUCAAAACAUACUUUCCACACCUGGGCUGUCGCUGCCCUUACAAAGAAUGAACAGGAGCUGGUCUGAAAGCAGCUUUUCAAAAUGGCAAGUGAGGUGGUUUAUGCUGAGGUACCACCCAAGGAAAGAGUACAUUUCACUUCAGAAACUUCAGAUACAGGUGAUCCAAUCACAUAUGCUGAGGUGAAGGUGAAAGGGAGAUCUGACAGACCUGACAGCACACCCAAAAUUACACAUUCAGUGACCUGCUUGGAGAACUCACACUGGUGUUACGUUGUUUUCGCCCUGAUCUUCACUGCAGUGAUUUUGCUCAUCACUGUCAUCCUCCUGGCAGUGAAAUGUCCCAGCCUCUCAGGUGGACGCUGACAUCUUGCUGACACACAGGAUAACUCAGCCCAGGAAGGUUCUGCUUGUUCAACAGAACAGGACAUAAUGCUUGUUUUCUUUUACAUGAUUUUCUCUGAAGAGACUUGUAUGAAAGAAGACCUGCCAUCAGUCUGAUCACUCUUCAGUUAUGUCAUCCCAGAUCUCUGUUAAACCUCUAACCUCACCAUAUCUGGGUAAGACAUAUAUUAAUUUUAUUUGGAGUUUUCUUAAACCUGUAAUACCAGCAACCAUCCAAUUAUAUCAAUGCGUGUAGCAAGGCCUGGGUUCAAGCUGCUGCAUCAAAAGUUGGAUUUGGGUCUUGUUUAUACAACAAAAGUGACCCGAUGGACUGCUUGGAGACCUACAUUUAAUUCACAUCUGACUUGAUUCUGCAAUACUUCGCAAUAUAGAUAAGCUUUUAGAUUGCAUUAUGUGCAAGUGCAAAAAUUCAUGGACAAAACAGGGAAUGUCAAAGAUUGCACUGAACUUUUUUAUAAAGCCCAGGUUUGGACUUGAUUUUUUUUCUCUUGACAGCCUUCAGUGAGAUUUGUAUGAGAGGGGUAUUGAAGACGCAAGAAACUAUAUUCAUUUAGUAGAGAGGUCUCAGUCUGAUCCCUUCAUUGGCUUGAAUAAAAUUAUUCUGUUCUACUUGUCCAGAAGAGUGUCUCACAAUAUAUUCAUUCUGUCUUGGGGCAGUAAUUAGUUUUGUAUUCAUUUGGGGUUUUUUUCCCCAAAUGCUGUAGCCUCAGUUAAAACAGAGUCCUCCUCUGGAUGCACCCCAGGUUCAAAUGUAUUUGUUGGUAAUUAUUAUUAUAUUAUCUGGUUUUAUGUUAUUUUCAGUUCUUAUCCAUAAUUUCUUUGGGGCAGGCUGAUAUCAAUGAUUUGCAGACCCUGAGCAGGAGGAGCCUGCAUAGCAAAUAUUUCUAUAACUGUUCCUUGUAUCUAAGCUUAUCUGUACUUAAGAUGUGUUGUUGCUGUUGCUAA